rnacentral:rRNA from 1 species
GAUGAACGCUAGCGGCAGGCCUAAUACAUGCAAGACGAACGGUAAGUUUGAUAGCAAUAUUGAACCAAGAGUGUCGUAAGGGUGCGUAACACGUAUGCAAUCUGCCCUCAACAGGAGUAUAGCUAGGGGAAACUCGAAUUAACCCUCCAUAAGAUUGUGGUGUGGCAUCACACAGCAAUUAAAACCACGGUGGUUGAGGAUGAGCAUGCGCAUGAUUAGUUAGUUGGCGGGGUAACGGCCCACCAAGACGAUGAUCAUUAGGGGAACUGAGAGGUUGAUCCACCACACUGGCACUGAGAUACGGUCCAGACUCCUACGUGAGGCAGCAGUAGGGAAUAUUGGGCAGGGGGUGAGUGCCUGAUCCAGCCAUGCCGCGUGCAGGAAGAAGGCCUUCUGGGUUGUAAACUGCUUUUAUCUGGGGAUAAAAAGGCCUUGCGGGACAAACUUAAGGUACCAGAUGAAUAAGCCACGGCUAACUACGUGCCAGCCGCCGCGGUAACAC